rnacentral:lncRNA from 1 species
UUAUUUUUGAUAUUUUUAUAAUUGUAUAAAAUGUAAAUAUUAUUAAUUUAUUAUUUAACAGCUGCUGCAUUUGGUAGUUAACCAGUCAUAAGUAUCCCGCAAACGCACAAAUUUCUAACCGCAGAACCAGUCGUACGAAUCUCUUAAAACCGCUAGAAACCGCAACCAUCCGCAUCCGCAAACUCCCGCAACCGCAACCGCAACCGCUGCGGUUAAACCAGUCAGGCCCUUAAUCAUCAUUUUUUAUUUUUCUCUAUUUUGCAAUUCCUUUCUCUCAAAAUCAGAAGGCAAAAAAUUGAGGUUUCAGAGAAAAUGCACUUGUUGAUAGCUGAUUCGAAAUUCUGAUUUAGUCAAUUGAAUUGCAAAGUAUUUUUUUUUUUGGAAGAUAAGAAUAGUUUUAGUUCUUCCAUCCAUCCAUCCAUAAAUUAAUGCAUUUCUUUAACUAUUUAUCUCCAAUAUUAGAGAAUGUAGCUGUAACUUUGGAUUAAAGAAAUGACUCAAUAUUGGCCAGCGUAUUAUUUAGUUUUUAGUCGCUCGACUCUCG